UUGCCAACCCCAGGCCAGGCGGAAUACCCGCUGAAUUUAAACCUUUCAUAAGCCGGAAGAAA
rnacentral:rRNA from 1 species